rnacentral:rRNA from 1 species
GGGUUGUGAGGUUAAGCGACUAAGCGUACACGGUGGAUGCCCUGGCAGUCAGAGGCGAUGAAGGACGUGCUAAUCUGCGAAAAGCGUCGGUAAGGUGAUAUGAACCGUUAUAACCGGCGAUGUCCGAAUGGGGAAACCCAGUGUGAUUCGUCACACUAUCGUUAACUGAAUACAUAGGUUAACGAGGCGAACCGGGGGAACUGAAACAUCUAAGUACCCCGAGGAAAAGAAAUCAACCGAGAUUCCCCCAGUAGCGGCGAGCGAACGGGGAGCAGCCCAGAGUCUGAAUCAGCUUGUGUGUUAGUGGAACGGUCUGGAAAGUCCGACGGUACAGGGUGAUAGUCCCGUACACCAAAAUGCACAGGCUGUGAACUCGAAGAGUAGGGCGGGACACGUGGUAUCCUGUCUGAAUAUGGGGGGACCAUCCUCCAAGGCUAAAUACUCCUGACUGACCGAUAGUGAACCAGUACCGUGAGGGAAAGGCGAAAAGAACCCCGGCGAGGGGAGUGAAAAAGAAUCUGAAACCGUGUACGUACAAGCAGUGGGAGCACCUUUAUGGUGUGACUGCGUACCUUUGUAUAAUGGGUCAGCGACUUAUAUUCUGUAGCAAGGUUAACCGUAUAGGGAGCCGCAGGGAAACCGAGUCUUAACUGGGCGUUAAGUUGCAGGGUAUAGACCCGAAACCCGGUGAUCUAGCCAUGGGCAGGUUGAAGGUUGGGUAACACUAACUGGAGGACCGAACCGACUAAUGUUGAAAAAUUAGCGGAUGACUUGUGGCUGGGGGUGAAAGGCCAAUCAAACCGGGAGAUAGCUGGUUCUCCCCGAAAGCUAUUUAGGUAGCGCCUCGUGAACUCAUCUUCGGGGGUAGAGCACUGUUUCGGCUAGGGGGUCAUCCCGACUUACCAACCCGAUGCAAACUACGAAUACCGAAGAAUGUUAUCACGGGAGACACACGGCGGGUGCUAACGUCCGUCGUGAAGAGGGAAACAACCCAGACCGCCAGCUAAGGUCCCAAAGUCAUGGUUAAGUGGGAAACGAUGUGGGAAGGCACAGACAGCCAGGAUGUUGGCUUAGAAGCAGCCAUCAUUUAAAGAAAGCGUAAUAGCUCACUGGUCGAGUCGGCCUGCGCGGAAGAUGUAACGGGGCUAAACCAUGCACCGAAGCUGCGGCAGCGACGCUUAUGCGUUGUUGGGUAGGGGAGCGUUCUGUAAGCCUGCGAAGGUGACCUGUGAGGGUUGCUGGAGGUAUCAGAAGUGCGAAUGCUGACAUAAGUAACGAUAAAGCGGGUGAAAAGCCCGCUCGCCGGAAGACCAAGGGUUCCUGUCCAACGUUAAUCGGGGCAGGGUGAGUCGACCCCUAAGGCGAGGCCGAAAGGCGUAGUCGAUGGGAAACAGGUUAAUAUUCCUGUACUUGGUGUUACUGCGAAGGGGGGACGGAGAAGGCUAUGUUAGCCGGGCGACGGUUGUCCCGGUUUAAGCAUGUAGGCUGGUUAUCCAGGCAAAUCCGGAUAAUCAAGGCUGAGGUGUGAUGACGAGGCACUACGGUGCUGAAGUAACAAAUGCCCUGCUUCCAGGAAAAGCCUCUAAGCAUCAGGUAACACGAAAUCGUACCCCAAACCGACACAGGUGGUCAGGUAGAGAAUACCAAGGCGCUUGAGAGAACUCGGGUGAAGGAACUAGGCAAAAUGGUGCCGUAACUUCGGGAGAAGGCACGCUGGUGUGUAGGUGAAGUCCCUGCGGAUGGAGCUGAGACCAGUCGAAGAUACCAGCUGGCUGCAACUGUUUAUUAAAAACACAGCACUGUGCAAACACGAAAGUGGACGUAUACGGUGUGACGCCUGCCCGGUGCCGGAAGGUUAAUUGAUGGGGUUAUCCGUAAGGAGAAGCUCUUGAUCGAAGCCCCGGUAAACGGCGGCCGUAACUAUAACGGUCCUAAGGUAGCGAAAUUCCUUGUCGGGUAAGUUCCGACCUGCACGAAUGGCGUAAUGAUGGCCAGGCUGUCUCCACCCGAGACUCAGUGAAAUUGAACUCGCUGUGAAGAUGCAGUGUACCCGCGGCAAGACGGAAAGACCCCGUGAACCUUUACUAUAGCUUGACACUGAACAUUGAGCCUUGAUGUGUAGGAUAGGUGGGAGGCUUUGAAGCGUGGACGCCAGUCUGCGUGGAGCCAACCUUGAAAUACCACCCUUUAAUGUUUGAUGUUCUAACGUUGGCCCCUGACCGGGGUUGCGGACAGUGUCUGGUGGGUAGUUUGACUGGGGCGGUCUCCUCCCAAAGCGUAACGGAGGAGCACGAAGGUUAGCUAAUCCUGGUCGGACAUCAGGAGGUUAGUGCAAUGGCAUAAGCUAGCUUGACUGCGAGCGUGACGGCGCGAGCAGGUGCGAAAGCAGGUCAUAGUGAUCCGGUGGUUCUGAAUGGAAGGGCCAUCGCUCAACGGAUAAAAGGUACUCCGGGGAUAACAGGCUGAUACCGCCCAAGAGUUCAUAUCGACGGCGGUGUUUGGCACCUCGAUGUCGGCUCAUCACAUCCUGGGGCUGAAGUAGGUCCCAAGGGUAUGGCUGUUCGCCAUUUAAAGUGGUACGCGAGCUGGGUUUAGAACGUCGUGAGACAGUUCGGUCCCUAUCUGCCGUGGGCGCUGGAGAAUUGAGGGGGGCUGCUCCUAGUACGAGAGGACCGGAGUGGACGCAUCACUGGUGUUCGGGUUGUCAUGCCAAUGGCACUGCCCGGUAGCUAAAUGCGGAAGAGAUAAGUGCUGAAAGCAUCUAAGCACGAAACUUGCCCCGAGAUGAGUUCUCCCUGAGACUUUAAGUCUCCUGAAGGAACGUUGAAGACGACGACGUUGAUAGGCCGGGUGUGUAAGCGCAGCGAUGCGUUGAGCUAACCGGUACUAAUGAACCGUGAGGCUUAACCUUACAACGCCGAAG